ACUCAAUUGAAAAGCAGUGUUGAUAUAUAUAGAUUAUAUCUAUAUAUAUCAACACUGCUUUUCAAUUGAGUGC